rnacentral:rRNA from 1 species
AUGCACGCUGGCGGCGUGCCUAAUACAUGCAAGUCGAGCGAACGGACGAGAAGCUUGCUUCUCUGAUGUUAGCGGCGGACGGGUGAGUAACACGUGGAUAACCUACCUAUAAGACUGGGAUAACUUCGGGAAACCGGAGCUAAUACCGGAUAAUAUUUUGAACCGCAUGGUUCAAAAGUGAAAGACGGUCUUGCUGUCACUUAUAGAUGGAUCCGCGCUGCAUUAGCUAGUUGGUAAGGUAACGGCUUACCAAGGCAACGAUGCAUAGUCGACCUGAGAGGGUGAUCGGCCACACUGGAACUGAGACACGGUCCAGACUCCUACGGGAGGCAGCAGUAGGGAAUCUUCCGCAAUGGGCGAAAGCCUGACGGAGCAACGCCGCGUGAGUGAUGAAGGUCUUCGGAUCGUAAAACUCUGUUAUUAGGGAAGAACAUAUGUGUAAGUAACUGUGCACAUCUUGACGGUACCUAAUCAGAAAGCCACGGCUAACUACGUG